UUACCUCAGGACCGCCACAUCCAGCCACGUUGGGCAACACCCCCCAAAACUUGAUUCUCUUUGCUCCGCCUCCCGUCGUCCUCACUUCCUUGAUCUGCCGUCCUCACUUCCGUGAUCUCUCGUCGCCAUGACCGAGGCCUGUGAAGGGCAACAGUGGCCCCCCGAGCUCCAUACCAGCAUGGCUCCGUCGAGGCACCCCACGACCACGACAGUCUGCUUAUUACCGUGGAGUACAUCGCGCUCCCAGAGGAGGUGUGCUAUGAGGGAUGAGGCAAUACUAUCAGGGUUUGCUAUCCGAAUAGCAACCAGCAGCCUGCUGAUGUGACGCCUUGCCAGAGGCCACACUAUCGCUUUCUUCCCAUUCAAGCUAAGCCUACACAACGCCCCUGGUGCUAGCUAUGCUCACAAUCGAUGCUAGCCACAAUCUUCUUGCUCAGGUUCGUCAACUGUAGCAAUAUUUUAGUUCUUCAGGUUGGUCAGAAUGUAGUUGAGUUUUGGUUAAAAUUCCCAUUUUUAGUUCUCAGAAUGUUUGUGCAUAUUGGUACAUGCACAUUGUUUGUUUUGCUUAAUCAUUCAAGAGAAAAAAUCUGAAACAAGCUUAUUUUGACAA